UAGGGAAUCUUCGGCAAUGGACGGAAGUCUGACCGAGCAACGCCGCGUGAGUGAAGAAGGUUUUCGGAUCGUAAGGCUCUGUUGUAAGAGAAGAACGAGUGUGAGAGUGGAAAGUUCACACUGUGACGGUAUCUUACCAGAAAGGGACGGCUAACUACGUGCCAGCAGCCGCGGUAAUACGUAGGUCCCGAGCGUUGUCCGGAUUUAUUGGGCGUAAAGCGAGCGCAGGCGGUUAGAUAAGUCUGAAGUUAAAGGCUGUGGCUUAACCAUAGUACGCUUUGGAAACUGUUUAACUUGAGUGCAAGAGGGGAGAGUGGAAUUCCAUGUGUAGCGGUGAAAUGCGUAGAUAUAUGGAGGAACACCGGUGGCGAAAGCGGCUCUCUGGCUUGUAACUGACGCUGAGGCUCGAAAGCGUGGGGAGCAAACAGGAUUAGAUACCCUGGUAGUCCACGCCGUAAACGAUGAGUGCUAGGUGUUAGACCCUUUCCGGGGUUUAGUGCCGUAGCUAACGCAUUAAGCACUCCGCCUGGGGAGUACGACCGCAAGGUUG
rnacentral:rRNA from 1 species